rnacentral:lncRNA from 1 species
UUGUAAUGUGCCUGUAAGUGAGGGAAGGAAGUUUGAAUUUUACAAGUAUGUGACCAGAGAGACAAUCAUUUACAAAAGGCAACCAGGAGGAACUCCCUUCAUCCACAAGCUUGUUAACACCAGCCCUUGGCCCCCAGUGGCCCCUCCUCUUGUGCAGAUCUGUACAGAUGUGGUUUUGUCUACAGGCAGAGCUCCCUCAUCCACAAGGAUAGGGCCCCACCCCACAUACCAGUGGCCACUUCCCACUUGUGAGUGAGGUCUAGUGCAGAAGCUUCCCAGGAACGAAGAAGCCUUGAAAGAAAGGGAGCCAGAGCAGAGACCCCGACAGGAUUCCCACUCCCGCUGCCAGCAAGUCCCUGACACCUCCAUUCUUUGCGUCUAAAGUCCCCUAGAAACAAGUCACCUGAUUCUACUAAGCCACCUGCCUCAUCCCACUGAAAACCUUUCCGGAAAGAUGGGCCAGACAUGCUCUCUGAUGGCCAUUCGUCUUCUGAAUCCCAAGAAUAAUCCUUUGGCACAAACAUAGAAGUGUAUUAUUUGGUCUUCCAGCAAACAUGAAGAGAAACAAUGAAAUGAAGGAAAUGCACAUCACGAGCUGCCACACAAGAUCCUAAUUACCAUAAUUUGACCCAUCCUCCUUCCCAUUGCCGGAAAGUCAGCCUUCUGGAUGAGAGGAAGCCAAACCAGCAAGAUAACAGGCUUCUGUUCUCUCUCCCCGUCCCUCGCCUCUUUCUUUCUU